rnacentral:rRNA from 1 species
UACGUAGGGGGCAAGCGUUGUCCGGAAUCAUUGGGCGUAAAGCGCGCGUAGGCGGCCCGGUAAGUCCGUUGUAAAAGUCAAAGGCUCAACCUUUGAAAGCCGAUGGAUACUGCCGGGCUAGAAUCCGGAAGAGGCGAGUGGAAUUCCUGGUGUAGCGGUGGAAUGCGCAGAUAUCAGGAGGAACACCGGUGGCGAAGGCGGCUUCCUGGACCGACACUGACGCUGAGGCGCGAAAGCUAGGGGAGCAAACGGG